AUACGUAGGGGGCGAGCGUUGUCCGGAAUGAUUGGGCGUAAAGGGCGCGUAGGCGGCCCGGUAAGUCUGGAGUGAAAGUCCUGUUUUUAAGAUGGGAAUUGCUUUGGAUACUGUCGGGCUUGAGUGCAGGAGAGGUGAGUGGAAUUCCCAGUGUAGCGGUGAAAUGCGUAGAUAUCGGGAAGAACACCGGUGGCGAAGGCGACUUACUGGGCCGUAACUGACGCUGAGGCGCGAAAGCGUGGGGAGCGAACAGGAUUAGAUACCCUGGUAGUCCACACUGUAAACGAUGAAUGCUAGGUGUAGGGGGUAUCGACCCCUUCUGUGCCGCAGUCAACACAAUAAGCAUUCCGCCUGGGGAGUACGGCCGCAAGGUUGAAACUCAAAUGAAUUGACGGGG
rnacentral:rRNA from 1 species